rnacentral:rRNA from 1 species
UCCCAGCACUCCAAGUCGCAGCCACAAUUAUUGGGUCUAAAACAUCCGUAGCUUGCUCUGUAAGUCUUUUGUGAAAUCGGGACUCUUAAGGUUCCGGCGCGCAAAAGAUACUGCUUAGCUAGGGACCGGGAGAUGUGAAGAGUAUGAAUGAUGUAGCGGUAAAAUGCGUUGAUCUUAUUCAGACUAACAACAGCGAAGGCACUUCACAAGAACGGAUCCGACAGUGAGGGAUGAAGGCUAGGGGCGCAAAUUG